AUGAAAAGUCAGCUUCUACAGGAGAAACUUAGAGCUAAGGCUCUGAUCAAACCUUACAGAAUUCUGUAUGUCACACAAAGAGAGAACUGAGCUGUUUUGAUCAUUAUAAUUGGUCGUAGAAAAUCAUUUUGGAAAUCCUAGAUCGCUAAGGAAUCUGGGAUGUGAGGAAAAGCUAUGCUAAAAGAACACUAACUUGGUUGGCACACACUUGAGGAGCAGUGAGAAGACUAAGCCUGAUGGAAUUACGAGGUCUGUAAAUCACGUGGUUUAGAGGCAGGCGUGAAUUCAGUCAAAUGGGGGUUCAAGACCUCAUUGGAGGAAGCAACUGUGAAUAUGGAAAUAGCAAGAGAACUGGAAUUAAAAAUGGAGCCUGAAGAUGUGACUGAUUUGCCACAAUUUUGUGAUAAAACUUUAAGUAAUGAAUAGUUGCUUCUUACAGAUGAGCAAAGAAAUUGGUUUCUUGAGAUAAAAUUUACUCCUGCUGAAGAUAUUCAGAAUGGUAUUGAAAUGACAACAAAUGAUUUAAAAUAAUCACAUCGAUGUAAUUGAUGAAACAACAAGGAUUGAGAGGGUUGACUCUUACUCUGAAAGAAAAUUUACUCAAGGCAGAAUGCAAAUAGCUUUCCUGCUAUGAAGAAAUAUUUUGUGAAAGCAAACUUUAAUUGAUGGGGCAAAAUUUAUUUAAAUUUAAUAAAUGCAAUUUAUUUAACAGAAAAUAUAAAUUUUAAGAAAUUACCGCAGCCACCUCAGCCUUCAGCAACCAUGACUCUAAUCAGUCAUCAGUUAUCAAAAAGAAGGCAUGACCAACAAGAAACAUUAAAUCUUUCUUUAAGCUCUGAUGAUUAUUAGCAUUUUUAGCAACAAAGUAUUUUUUUAGUUAAGGAUACAGCUUUUAUUAGAGAUAUACUAGUGCACACUUGAUAGGCUAUAGUAAUGUAAACAUUUACAUGUUCCAGAAAAUAAAAAAUUUAUGUGACUUGCUCUAUUGAAAUAUUGGUUUUAUCAUGGUAGUAUAGAAAU
rnacentral:lncRNA from 1 species